rnacentral:lncRNA from 1 species
UACGACAUUAGGCCACAAUUUAAAACAUAAUUUACUCCAAGAUUUACUAUACAUGAUAUAAAGUAUAAGUAUUAAUAUAUAAUUGAACUUUUUAAGUUGUGACUUGUUAGUUGAGUGUUCACCUUCUUCGUUAAUAACUUAAAUUCGAAUCAUAACUGUACUAAAAUAGAGUACUAAUACAUAAUUUUAUAAAAUAUAUCUUAUAUUUUCUGACUUUGAAGACCUCACCCAUUUGCUUGUGGAUCGUUAGUGAAAGCAUCGUUUAUGCUUGCAGUAGAAGUGGCCGAUUGGACCACUGUUGGUGCUGGAGUAAGCAACAGCGAGGAUCAUGAAAGGAGAGAUAUAAAGAGAAGAAAAGAUUUUUUUUGUCAAAGGAGAAGAUGAAAUAAUGAACAUUUUUAGAAAAAAUAAAAGAAGAAGCUUUAUAGUAAAAGUAAAUAAAGAAAAAGAGAAAAAAAGAAACAUGGGUGAUCAGAGAAGAUCACUGGACGAGCGACGGCGAUGGAGGACUGGCGACAGCAAACUCUAAAAGGAUGGAAAAGUUUUUGAGAGUUUCUGACGAUGGAAGCUUGAAAAAAGGGAAAGUCGUG